GUCUCAAGAGUUUCAGUUGAGAUGUGAAGAAUAAGGUAAUUCUGUAGGUAAGGUUGCCAAGAAGGUCGUGGUGAAAAAAUAAUCGAAACGUCGUGGAAGCCAUCACAAUUAACAUAGCUGGCAAUAAAAUAGAAAACGUAUGAGUACACAUGUCACGCCAAGUCUAAAUAUUCGAUUUCGUUUCUGCCACUUACGAAUCCUUCGAGUGUUCUCACUCUUGAGCUAAACGUUGCCACUUAAGGAAUCAACUUGCACCACUUUCUGCUCCAAAAUGAAAGCACUUUUCUUUUAUCUUAUAUUUUCCCUUAAUGACGUAAACGACACAUAUAUAUAGAAUUUGUAAUUCCAAUAAUACUUGGAAUUUAUUAUGCGACUUACCUUUGUCACCUGAUAUGGUUAUGUUUCUAACCUCUCCAACAUUCAAUAUUUUGGAACGCACUGCAACUACACCUAUAUGUUUGUUAGCGAUGAAACAUGCCGCGAAGAACAUUUGUUUCUGCUCAAAAGGGAGUUUACACCCUGUAGGUAGGUGGUUGAAAAGAAAACCUCUACUUCAGCCAUCUGGAACGACUUAAAACACCAAAAAGCACGAGAGAAAAGAACGAACCAACCAUCCACGGUCCUUUUCGAUGUCCUUUUCUUUGGCCUCGUGCCCUUUUCCUAUCUACGUUCGGAGAUGUACGUGCACAGAAAGCGACGAGUCGGAUCUGAAAGAACGGUCAAUGUUUCCAUUGACAGUGCGGUUAGAUUAACUUGUAAAUGGGUGUAGAUUAACGUCUGGAUUAUGGAUUUGACGUGAAACAAUGUCACCAGUCGCUGAAUGAGAGAAAAGGACAAUUUGAAAGUUGUCAUUUAGCAUGACCUACAUCAAUCUUUGGAUUAGACGGAUUUAGUGGAAUAACGCCACCAGUCGACUUGACGAAUAAUCCUUUCUUAUCCACAACUGCCAGCCUAAUUUAGGAAUUUCAAAUUUUUACUUAUGUUAUUU
rnacentral:lncRNA from 1 species